rnacentral:lncRNA from 1 species
CAAGAAUCACCCAGGACUGGAGCCCAGGAAUCUGCUCAGUAACGUGACUGGGGUGCAUAGGAAGAGAAGAUCAUCAGUGGCAAAUGGCAGUCACAGGAAAGCAACACCCACAGCCGGUUUCACACGUGUGGAGAGCACCCUGAGCCUCCUCCUCCUGGUUUCCCGUGCUCUGCAAGUUCAGAGAAACUUCUCUCACAACCAACUAUAGAAACAAUCUUGGAACGUACAGUCUUAGAAAUGGCUUUUUAAUUGCAGCAUAUCAGAGUGAAAAAGGACCCAGAGAUGUUGGAAUCAGACAAUCCUGGUUUCAAAUCGGUUUCAUUGUUCAUCCUCAUGUGAUGUUUGGCAAGAAAUAAAACAUUUCUGCGUUCAGUUUCCUUGUCUGUGAUAUUACAUAACAUAUUGCAAAUAUGCUGAGUGUUGAGAAAAUAAUGAACAACAUGCAAGGAGUAGCUGGGAUAUGGUAGCAGCUCAGUAGAUAAUGAUGAUGAUCAAUAUUCACCAUUGACAAGUAGCUGUGAAAUCCACAAAUGGUGGACAUAAAAGGUUAACCAGUGAAGUGCUGGGACAACGUAGCUGAAGAAAUAUUGGAAUGUUCCUGCUCAGAUUGGCCUCAGCCUGAAAACUGUUUACUUCCUGCCCAAAUCUGGGGCCUGUCUCCUCUUCCAGCAUUCCCUGAGGGAGGAGACAGAGAAAGAAAGUAUAGGCAGAAAUCAUAGAAGUCAGCUGCUUUCAGAUAACUUCUAUAGCUGGUAUUUUUACAGAGACUACAUGUUGGGAGAUGGUAAAUUUACCUAGAAAUUAAUGUGAUGAAGACUUUAUACGUGAAACGGGAACUUUGGGAUACUGACAACAGACAGAAUAAUGACUCUGUAGUGGUUUUUUGGGGGUUUUGUUUUGUUUUAGACAAAGUCUUGCUCUGUCACCCAGGCUGGAGUGCAGUGGCGCGAUUUUGGCUCACUGCAACCUCUGCCUCCUGAGUUCAAGUGAUUCUCCUGCUUCAGCCUCCUGAGUAGCUGGGAUUACAGGUUCCCGCCACCACACCUGGCUAGUCUUUUGUAUUUUUAGUAGAGAUGGGGUUUCACCAUGUUGGCCAGGCUGGUUUCGAACUCCUGGCCUCAAAUGAUCCACCUUGGCCUCCCAAAGUGCUGGGAUUACAGGCAUGAGCCACUGCGCCUGGCCAUGAUUCUUUAGUAUUGAUAAAAGUUUUCAUAAAAGAUAUGUCACAGAGUAGGAUACAAAAAAGACACACAUCAAGCAUACUUUGGAUGGUGAAAUGAGAAUAGUGUACAGGGAAAGGCAGGAAAGACCUGGCUUAGGGAUUCUCCAGUUCCCCAACUGGGCACCACUGAAUGCUGGAAACAAUACUGAAGAUGACAAUUUUCUAGGGACCUAAUCUGGCAGAGGGUAAUAGUAACCCUCCCAGAAUGGUGUCUUAAUAAGUUUUCUUCCUGCUUGGAGAUGUUACGCUAUCUAUUUGCAAGUAUGUUUUGUCGUUCAAUUAUCAUAUCAAGCCUAUGAAAUUGGUUUUAUUUUUAGCCCCAUGGUCCUGGGAAUAUUUUGGGAAGUGGUUACAUCUUGAGUAAUGGAGAAUACCAGUUGAAUCCCACAUUGUGUGAAAUAUGUCUCCAUUGGAGAGAUUUACCAUUUGUCUUCCCAGUAUCCAUUCGCUAUUUUUAAGGUAAAAUGACACCUCAAAUUCCAUCUGGGGAACCACUCUCUCCCACUCUCAGGCCACAUAGUUUAAAAAGCAUCACAUCCAUUCUUAACAUUCUCUUUUGUUAGAGGAUUUAGUUCAUUCAUCCUCCAUGUGACCCAGUCAGAACGAGGCAUAAGGAGACUGUUGUUCUUUCCCAAGGGACUUGAACCUGGAAGUAGGUGAGCUGGUGCUACUGUUGCCACCUUGCCACCACAGGUAAGUGAAGAAUAAGGCCAAUGAGUGGAUGAACACAGAGCCCACUGAGAGGUGGACAGAAAAUGGGUCUUGAUGACAUUUUUGGAGCCUAAAUGAAACUGUUAUUGAAGAAAGUCCCAUCCUGGAAUUUUUACCUAUGUGAGCCAAUAAACUUUCUUCUGCCUUGAGCUAGUUUUGGUGGAGUGUUUUUUGUUUUUUUGUUUUUUUUUUUUCAUUUUCAACAGAAGAGAGUUGAUUUGGUUUGGCUGUGUCCCCACCCAAGUCUUAUCUUGAAUUCUAGUUCCCAUAAUCCUCACAUGUCAUGGGAGGGACCUGGUGGGAGGUAAUUGAAUCAUGAGGGUGGUUUCUCCCAUUCUGUUCUUGUGAUAACGAGUUCUCAUGAGAUCUUAUGGUUUUAUAAGCAUCUGGCAUUUCCCCUGCUUGCACUCCUUCUCUCUCCUGCCGCUGUGUGAAGAGGUGCCUUCCACCAUGAUUGUAAAUUUCCUGAGGCCUCCCCAGCCCUGUGGAACUGUGAGUCAAUUAAACCUCUUUUCUUUAUAAAUUAGCCAGUCUUGGGUAUUUCUUCAUAGCAGCAUGAGAACAGACUAAUACAAGAGUCCUAACUGGAAAAAGAUCUCUUUCUCCCCACUCAAUGCCAUAACAAACUAUAGAUAGAGCUUGUCUGUUAGGUGGCUGUUUUGCAAACCAAGGACAAAAUGGAAAACUGGCAAGUCAUGGGCAAUUUUAUGCUCUGAGAGAAUGUAAAGACAAUCUCCCCAACAUAGAGCACAUUUCUGCAGGGAUUGCUGGUUACAUACUGUGAUAGUUGUUCUUUCCGUCUUAAAGUCCUGAUUAUAGCUGGGCAUAUAAUCAAUUUUUUAAAAAGACUUCAUCAGACUCUUUUGUGACUCAGCAUGGCCAUCUGACUAAUCUCUGGCCAAUGGGAUUUAAGCAGCUUCUCCAGGUAAUUUCCUUAAAAGAUAGCCAGGAUGUGCCCUUUGUCCUUUUUUCUUUGUCCUUUCCUUCAUCGUGCUGCCUAAAAUGUGGGUAUGAUGGCUGGAAUUCUAACUAUCAUCUUGUAUCAUGAGGCCAGAUUUCUACUUCAGAAAUGGCAGAGCCAUGAGCUAAAAAGAUUCUGGAUCCGUAGGAACUUCAGGGAACAAGCUAUCUUACAGCUCUGGUUUGCCAACAUUUGAAUUCUUACUUGAGAAAGAAAUAAACCUCUGUCCUAUUUAAGUCACUGUUAUUUUGAGUUUUUGUUAGCAUCAAGCUUAAUCCUAAUUAAGGCAGUUCCAAGAACAUGUUUUACAAGAAAUUAUUUUCUCAAUCUUUCUUUGACUAUCCAUGAAACUGAAAAUGAGUACAGCUAAUGUAUGUAAAGUCCAUAUGAUGUUGAUAUAUUCUUUCAAUAUAUAUUAUAUAAGCAAUUGCAGCAAUGUCCAAGUUAGAUUCAGUGCAAACCAAAGUGACCCAAUUCUUCCUAUCUGCUGGGUGCUGUGCUAGGCCAAUGGGAUUUGUCAAUGAUAAAAGUACAAAUUUAUUUUUUCUUUCCUUAACAAAUAUUUCUUUUAUAAAAUUUUGUACCCUUUGACUAAUAACUGCAUUUUUUUUCUCCCCCUGGUGCCUGGCAACCACUAUUUUACUCUCUGCUUUUAUGAAUUUGAUUAUUUUACAUUCCUCAAGUAAGUGAUAUCAUGUAGUAUUUGUCCUUCUGUGUCCGGUUUAUUUCAUUUAGCAUAAUGUCCUCCAGGUUCAUCCAUGUUGUUGCAAUUGGCAAGGUUUUCUUUUCUUUCUUUAAGUCUGAAUAGUAUUCCAGUGUAGGUAUGUACCACAUUUUCUUUAUUCAUUCAUCUGAUGAUGGAUAUAUAGCUUAUUUCCAUAUCUUGGCUAUUGUGAAUAAUGCUGCAAUGAACAUGGGAAUGAAGGUAUCUCUUUGAGAUCCUGAUUUCCAUUUUUUUUUUGAUAUCUACCUAGAAGUGGGAUUGGUGGGUUUAUGGUUUGUUUAUUUAUUUAUUUAUUUAUUUAUUUAUUUAUUUAUUUAUUUUUGAGACGGAGUUUUGCUCUGUCACCCAGGCUGGAGUGCAGUGGCAUGAUCUCGGCUCACUGCAACCUCCGCCUCCUGGGUUCAAGUGAUUCUCCUGCCUCAGCCUCCCGAGUAGCUGGGAAUCCAGGCAUGCAACAACACGCCUGGCUGAUUUUUGUACUUUUAGUAGGGACAGGGUUUCACUAUAUUGGCCAGGCUGGUCUCGAGCUCAUGAUAUCAUGUGAUCCGCCCACUUUGGCCUCCCAAAGUGCUGGGGUUACAGGUGUGAGCCACUGCACCUGGCCAUCAUUUUUAAUUUUUUGAGGAACCUCUAUGCUGUUUUCCAUAGUGACUUACGAAUUUACAUUCUUACCAACAAUGUACAAUGGUUCCCUUUCCUCCACAUGCUCAAUAACAACUUAUCUUUCAUUUGUUUGUUUGUUUAUUUAUUUGUUUGUUUUAUAAUAGUCAUACUAACAGAUGUGAGGUGAUAUCUCAUUGUGGUUUUGAUUUGUUUAUUUGUUUUAUUAUUUGUUUGUUUGUUUUAUAAUAGUCAUACUAACAGAUGUGAGGUGAUAUCUCACUGUGGUUUUUAUUUCCAUUUCCCUGGUGAUUAGUGAUGUUGAGCACCUUUUUGUAUACCUGUUGGCCAUGUGUAUGUCUUCUUUGAAAACUGUUCAGGUCCUUUACCCAUUUUUUAAUCGAGUUACUUGCUUUUUGCUAUUGAGUUGUAGAAAUUAUUUAUAUAUAUUGGAUGUGUCAACCCUUGAUCAGAUAUAUCAUUUGCAAAUACUUUCUCCCAUUCCUUAUGCUGCCUUUGCAUUUUGUUGAUUGUUCUCUUUGCUGCGCAGAAUCUUUUUAUUUUGAUGUAAUUUCAUCUGCCUACUUUUGCUUUUUUGCCUGAAUUUUGGUUUUAUAUUUAAAAAAAUCACUGCCAAGGCCAAUGUCAGGAAGUUAUUUUCCUAUGUAGUCUUCUAGGAGUUUUACAGUUUCAGGUCUUAUGUUUAAAUCUUCAAUCCAUUUUGAGUUGAGUUUUUGGUAUGGUUUAAGAUAAAGGUCCAAUUGUCCAAUUUGCAUGGAGAUAUACAGUUUUUCCAGUACCGUUUAUUGAAGAGACUGUCCUUUCCCCAUUGUGUAUUCUUGGCACCCUUGUCAAAGAUUAUUUGACCAUCUGUUAGUCUAUAUGUCUGUUUUUAAGCCAGUACCAUACUGUUUUGAUUACUGUAGCUUAAUAACAUAUUUUUAUUUUAUUUUGAGUUUUAUAGAGGCAGGGUCUCACUAUAUUGGCCAGGAUGGUCUCAAACUCCUGGUCUCAAGCAAUCCUCCUGCCUCAGUCUCCCAGUGUGCUGGGAUUACAGGCAUGAGCCACCACACCUAGCUUUUUAUAUAUUUUGAAAUCAGGAAGUUUGAUGCCUCCUUCCAGUUAUGUUCUUGAUGAAAGUAUGAGUUUUAUACACAGAUUUAAUUUUUGGUUAAAAAUCAAUUAAAUUAUACUUUCAAAGAUAAGAUUUUGAGGUGUUUUAGAAGAGAAAUGAGAAGCAAGGUGCUAUGUAUAUUGUAGUUUGGAUAAAUGUUGUUCAUAGAGGUAUAGACACUGAAAGCCUUUGCUUCACAAUAGCUAUGGUACAGAUGCUAUAGGGCGGAAAAUAAUUAGUCAGGGCUGAAGUUAAUAAACUACAUAGGAAUCACUGGAUUCAAUUCUAUUUGUUUCACGGAGGUACUUCACAUUGCUAGGUGACUUUGAAGGAAAGCAAGUAUUUUUCAGCUUUAAAAUUAGAAAAAUUAGUGGAUGUUAGGCAAUCUACGAAAAAUUUUGAAGUAAUUAUUAGUAAUUUCUCAACAGUAGGUAAAUUCAAAUGUUCAUUCCCAUGUUAAAGAUAUGGAGGCAGAAAAUAAAAAACUAAAAAUGAUCAUGGGAGUGGUGUUGCUAGAAACUGGGAAUAACGUUCAUAUCCUUUAGCUUUGUGACUACCCAUCUACCCACACAUUCAUAUAUGGGAGUUAUUGAUAGUUCUGAUUUGUUUGAUUGGUGAAUGUCAUUUUCCAAGAUAUGUUGAAAUUCCUAGAAGAAAUAAGUGUUUUGUCAGGUGUGAUGAAUGCAGGGAAGGAAGAUGAAAACAAGACAACAUAGAUGUAUCAGUUUUCUCUUGCUGUUAAUAAACUACCCUAAAUAAAGCUUAGUGGCUUAAAACAAUAGCAUGUGAUUCUGGAGGUUGACAAUUUGGGCUGAGCUCAGCUGGGCAGUUUUGAUCUCAUCUUUUUCACGUGUCUUUUGCAACCCUGGGGUGACUAUGUGGGUCUUCUGGGAGUUGACGGCUGUUGGUUGAAAUACCUGGACUUUCCUCCACAUGGUCCCUCAUCCUCUAGAAGGCUAACAUGCACUUAUUCCCAUAGUAGUAGCAGAAUUUUAAGAGAAAGUGGGUUUGCAUGUGGUGGCUCACACCUGUAAUCCCAGCACAUUGGACAGCUGAGGCAGGUAGAUUGCUUGAGCCCAGGAGUUUGAAACCAGCCUGGGCAACAUGGUGAAAUCUUGUCUCUACAAAAAUUACAAGAAUUAACUGGUCAUGGUGUCACGGGCCUGUAGUCCCAGCUAGUCAGGAGGCUGAGGCAGGAGGCUUGAGCCUGGGAGGCAGAGUUUGCAGUAAGCCAAGAUCACGUCACUGCACUCCAUCCUGGGCAAUACAGCAAGACCCUGUCUCAAAAAAAGAAAGAAAGAAGAAAGAAAAAGAAAGAAAGAAGAAGGAAAAAGAAAGAAAGAAAGAAGAAAAAAGAAAGAAGAAAAAGAAAGAAAGAAAGAAAAAAAGAAAGAAAAAAGAGAAAGAAAGAGAACACAUACAAGGAAUGUAUUCUAAGGAUUGGUUUUGAUCUCAUCUUCUGUUCCUUCCACUGCAUGCUACUAUAGUUUCCAAAAAACGGUAAGACCAGCCUUUUUGAUGAGAGGAGCUGCAGUCACAUUUCAAAGGGCAUAGAUACAAAAAAGGGAGGGGCGUGGCCAUUUUUCAAUCAAUCUACUGUCAUGAACAGUAUUGGGAAGCUGAGGGAAGAUGGUCUUGAUUUGUUGUUGAAAAAAUGUGUGGAGAAAUAGGAAGAAAUAAAAAGAGGAUACAGGCAGGGAGAAAGAAGGGCAUCAAAGAGCAAUGGCUGGUUAAAAUGUGAUACAAACAGCAAUAGGGAACCCCGGAAGACCCUUAAGCAAGGCAGAAAUGUAGACGAAGCAGAGGGCAUGUAUAAACAUCCGCAGAGUUAUAGGAGACUUCUGGCUGAGGGCCCGGCAAGAUAAGUAGAGCGUUUGUAUCUCUGAGUUUCUGAGUUAAUGAUGCCAGCAGUCUCUGGACCGGCCAAAUUGUGGUGGAUUUAUUAUUUACAUUACAACUGCAUUGUAAAAUGAAAGCAUAUGUCUAUAUUUUCAAUGCUUUGAAAAUAUCAUUGAACAUGCUGUAGAAUUUUAUAUCCAGUAUCAGGAUGCAAUUUCCCUAUCAAAUAAAAUUGUUGUUUGCUUUCUGUACUCUAUAUUAUUAUGGAAAUUUCACAGUUUAUCAGCUACAGUGAAGUCGACUGAAAUGAGUAGGCCACAUAUUAUACAAGCUGUUUUCUCCCACCCCUCCGAAUAUCCUGAUUCCCUUUCUAUUUAUGCUAAUACUGUUUUAUGCUAAUAAUGUACUUUUUCUGUUUAUCUGUUUUGUUGCCAUACAGCCUGAUUCAUAGGAGAAACGCAAAUGUUUUAAAGCUCUCUGGUGGAAAUGAUAGUGUUCUGAAAUAACUCUAGCCAGGAAACAUCUUGGUGGUACCCUCUAGUUUCACUUUUCUUCCUGCCUCUCUUGAUGAUCCAUUGCUGAACCCAACAAAUAAGAAGUUGCUUAGGGCCUGGUUAAUUUUGCUGAUUUCUGCAAAGUAUGCCUGUGUUUGUUCCUAGUGACCAUAAGAGUAAUAGUAACUUACUGUGCAACUGGAUAAUAUUGGGGGAGACCCCCUUUUCCAAAAGCAAUUGACCCCCUCCCCCUUUUUAAAAUUGCAGUGUGAAACCAGCAAGUACCCAAAUCCUGUUAGCACAUAGUGUUCUUAUAUUUCUGAGUUCUGGAAUAACAAUUUAAUAGGGUGUGUCUCCCCUUAAUGGUUGUGAUGCAGGGCAGGCAAGCGCCCAAAUUUAAGGGCUUAUCCUGGAGAAUUCUUGGCUUUGUCCAGGAAAGAAUUCAAUGGCAAGCUGGCGGUGUUAAACAGCAAUCUUUUAUUGAACAGUAGUGCUCCUUGUGGAACAGGGCUAACUCCUAGGCAGCAGGCCUACAACCUGCAAUGUAGGGGCUGUUGGCAACUGUAUUUCUACCCACUUUCAAUUACAUGCAAAUUAGGGGGUGGGUCAAUGCAAUUUGAGGGGAUGGGUUAUUUAGAACUUUCUGGGAAAGGGGCAGUAAUUUUCAGGUCAUUGCCAUGGAAAGGGGUGGUAACUUUCAGGUCGUUGCCAUGGCAUUUGUAAACCAUCAUAGCACUGGUGGGAGAGUCUUAUGCUAACAGGCAAUGAGGGCAGCUAGCUUUCCUCACCAUCUGCUGGGUCCUGCAGUUUUCUUCGCUUUAUUCCCUUGGAACCUGGAAAUGAGUCCCGCUGGUGUCCUACCUCAGUUGCAUGUUUUGAAAAAUAUACCGCAUUAGAGCUUGGUAGCUCCUAUUUUCUCUAAAAGUGGUCUUCAGGUCUUGUGUCCAUUUUCUCAUUUUAAUUUGUUGCCCUGCAUUUGGCUGACUGUGGAUUCUGAGCAGGAGGGAAGGAUCAGCUGGCAAAGCAAGGAAAAGUAUGGUGGAAGGGUCCUUCCCUGAUUAGGGGUCUAGGGGAUAGUUAUUUAACCUGUAAGUGUGAGAGAUUUUAUAAAGAAAAUAUUCAGAAAAAUCGCUUCUCGGCCUUUUGGUUAAGAUCAAGUGAAGAAAAUAUUCAGAAAAUAUCCGCUUGUGUAAAAUAAUAUUUAAAGAACAAAUGAAUGUUUCUGGUAGCAUGUCUUCAUUAUAAAGCCAGGUCAGUUAAUCCUUGUGGCUGAGAGCAUGACCUUUGACGCUAGUUUCCACCUCUUCCUAGCUGCAUGACUGUGGGCAAAUAUGUUAAACCUCAGUCAGUCUCGGCUUAAUAAUAACUCAUAAGAAUGUGUCAAAAGUUAAAUUAAUAAGUGUAUUUGGUGCACAGUGCUUGGCAUACAGUAAGGGCUCAGCACUGGCAUCAUCGUCAUUAUCACUGUUGUUGUCGUCAUUGUCAUUAACCAGCCUCCUCACAUCUAUUUUCUUAUGCUGGUGUUCAAGGCCAAACUCUAUCAAUCAUGUGAUGUUGACUAGUAGGUGCUAGGUACAUAGCCCUCAACAAGUUUAUGAGAAAUAAGGGAAUGAGUGAGUGAAUCUAUCAAUCAUAUUGUAAUUACAGUGGUGCAGUGGUGUGUGUGCGUGUGUGUGUGUGUUUCUUUAAAAGGAGGAUUCAUUAGCUGAGCGUGAUGGUGAGCAUCUAUAGUCCCAGCUACUCAGGAGGCUGAUGUGAGAGGAUUGCUUGAACCCAGGAGUUCAAGCCACUGCACUACAGCCUGGGUGACAAAGCAAGAUCCUGCCUCAAAAAGAAUAAAUAAAUAAAAUAAAAUAAAAUAAAAGGAGGAUUCAACCCAAAUAAACAGAUAAGUGCUUUUGAUGACCUAUAAAUGGUGGAAUGACUAGUAACAAAAAACUUUCUCCAGGGAUUUAUUGAUGUUUUUGAAAAUCCUAAAUGGAAAACCAAUAGCAAGUACGUAGAAGAAGCAUUGCCUCAAGGCACCCAGGCCCUCACUUGACUUAUCUCUGUCUUAUCUCCCAAGGCUGCCCCUGAGGCUCCCCCUUUGGAAUUCUAGGGCUCAGAGGAGUCUGGGUGAACACAAAUGCCCUAAAGAAAUAUUGCAAUUAAUGUCUUUGUAGCUUGACUGUUUUAAUAAUGCUUUAAAAAUUGUUUGAAAAAAGGGCAAUGUUCAUAGCUAGAGACUGAAUUUCAGGCAACAAAUACAUCACAUUAUUCCAGACAUCUUGGCCAUCACAACUUCAGGAUAAUGUGCCCUGUUUUUCAGGAAAGGCUGGGCGUGGUGGCCCAUGCCUGUAAUCCCAGCACUUUGGGAGGCCGAGGUGGGAGGAUUGCUUGAAUCCAAGAGUUUGAGAUCAGUCUGGACAAUAUAGUGAGACCCCGUCUCUAAACAAAAAAACAAAUUUAAAUUAUCUGGGAAUGGUGGCACAUGCCUGUAGUCUCAGCUACUUGGGAGGCUGAGCAGGGGAGGAUAGCUUGAGCCAGAGAGGUCAAGGCUGCAGUGAUCAUAGCUGCAGUGAGCUAUGAUCACACCACUGAACUCCAGCCUGGGUGACAGAGCAAGAUCCUGUCUCAAAACAACAACAACAACCACAAAGUCCCCCUGCCCCCCGCCCCCAAAAAACACUGAGGAAAAUUCUAAAAUUAUGAAGUACAGAAAGCGUCAAGAUUGUUUUCAAAUUUACUGAAGUCUCUGACUUUCCACACUCUGGUCUCUAAUUAAUCUCUUUCCCAAGACUUCCCAGGGUGUUAUCUUCUUCUGAAUUGGUGCAUUCUCCUUAGAGCCCCUCCUUAAACAACCUCCUCUUGCUUUUAGGGACCUCUCUCCUUUCCCCGUUUAAAUCCUAUCCAUCUUUCAAGUCCUAAGACAAAUUCUAUCUCUUCUAGGAUAUAGUUUUCUACAACUCUCUCCCUUAUUUAGAUCCACACAGUGUAGCAUUUAAUUGUUCUGUGUUAGCUUUGUCUUCCUAAGUAGGUCACGUUCUCCUUGAGGGCAAAGAUUAUGCUUUAGUUUCCCUUGUUUCUCACUUGGAGAGGCUGGGAGUGAUAUAUACAUAGUAGGUGCUGAUUAAAUAUUUGUUGAUUGAUUCCCUGCAAAGGAGUAGCUGCAAACUAAAGUUAAAGCACUAAACAAACCAAAGCAGUGAUCUGAAUCUCCCUUUGGGAAGAUACUCUUACGGGAAUGGAAAAAAUUCUUCAAAGAGCCUUGUCAGUUAAUGUUCUUCUUUGAAUGCCCUUCUAAUGAGAUUUCAGGUGGGGGUGGUGCAGGGCUGCAGGAGCACUGUUCUCCUUUCCUGUAUAGUUUGGGGUCAGCUACCAAGGACAUCCCAGGAGAACAGGGACUCUGGGGUACAGAGGCAUGAGGAUAGGAUAUAAAACAAAAAGGAAGUGAAAUGCUUGUACACUCAUGUCUACACCCAAGAAUGUGUAAUGCAAGUCUCUUACCCACAAACCAGAAUGAAGAGAGGUUUGGUCCUGCAGCUAGAAAAUAAGAGCAAGAGUGAGAGAGAGAGAGAGACAGAGAGAGAGACAGAGCCCUGAGGCUCUUUGGGGUUGAUAAUAUUCUCUAAAGCUGGGGAGGGGAGAGCUGAUAAAAAGUGCUUGUUCACACUUAGCAGCAUGAAAGGUGACUGAGAAUUAGCCUAAGCCUCUGUGCCUAGCCUCUUUAUAAUGUACUGAAAGUUUCAUAGCUCUAUGCAGGGCAGAGACUGGGCAGGGUACAAUUCUUUACAAGACUAAAUCUUCAGGGCUCUAAGGAAAGGGAAAAGAAUGAAUGAGAGGCACACUAGCAGGGUUGGGAUAAAUGGGUGCAGGAGGAGAAAAGCUGCUUCUUCCUCUUCUCUGGAGAGAUCAAGGAUGAGUGGAUGGAGGGCUGUGUGAGCACAUACACUUCAGAACCUGAUGAUGGGUAGUGGCUGAGGCCACUCAUACAAACAUGAAAACCACUGCUGAGUUGAUGCACAUUCAUUUCUGAUAGCUCAGCAAUCUUACUAUAAAUAGGGAACAGCAGAUGCCAUUCAUUGUUCUGGAAUUGGAGGCACGGGCUCAUUGUCUUGCUUGGGAUAUUUGGACCGGCAUCAUUUAUUAAUCUAAAUAUUCAGUAAAAGUGGAAAGUCAAGGAUUCUCAGGUUAUGGAAAUUAGUGAUCCCCUCCAACAGAAAUAGACGUCAACACUACUUUUACAGAUGCUGAUGAAAAAGUAAAAUGAUUUGGUGGCCCAUUGGCCAAUUUACCUAUUCAUCUCUCUACCAUCUAUGAGUCUAUAUUUUUGAUGCAUUUCAAAGUAAAUUGCAGACAUCAACACACUUAACCCUAAAUACUUCAUAAUGCACAUAUAUAACUAAAGUUCAAUAUAUGUUUACAGUUUUUUUCUUAUGAUAUAAGAUUAGCAAGGUUGCUUAUAUACAAUGUAAAUUGCUUAUCUAUAAGAUGGAAUGGUCCCUAAUGUGGAUGUUAUCAUCCUUAAGUGGAAUUUUAAUUUCCACUCUAGGUCCAAAAUAUUUUCUUUGUAAAAUAAUUCCUUUGAAGUGAUAAUGGAACAUAUGAAACACACACACACACACACACACACACACACACACACACUUCAUCUCUCCUCUUGGAUCUUUGAACAUACACAUACACUCUCUUCGUCUCUCCUCUUGGAUCUUUGAACUUUGCUUCUGCUUAAAAUCUCUCAGGAUGGUUUCUGUAACUCUUUUUGGGGAGCGUUUGUUCCCUCUGGGUAUGAGGCUCAUCCACAGGUUCUUAAAUAUUGUAAAACCACCCAUGUCCCACAGGUAUAGCUGGGAAGACUGUUGGGUGAUUCUAAGAAAGGAAAAGCAGGCGAGGAGAAGAGGUUAGGAUAUUUUUUAUGGGAAAAAGCCAUAACCAAUGUCUAGAUGGUUGAAUAUGCAAUAAGCUGCCUGCUAUUGCCCUUGGUUCUCAGCGGAUAUUCAUAGCACAGAAUAUUCCAGGAAAAGUAGUAGUUUGGUUUCACCCUUGCUCUGCUUGGCAGUCCAGCAGUGCAUGGGUAGGGGAGGCCUCCCCAGCAGAAGACACUUUCAGAUGUGACCUUUCCUCACUACUUACAUUGAGAAGGAAGAGGGCAGAGCAGAGUAGGCUGGAGAUCUAAGAGCACAGUGCUCGGAGGAGAGAUGGUGGGAGAGAGAACGCAGCCCCAGUCACUCUCCUUUAUGACUUCCGGAGUCUGCUAGUGCCACAGUUCUCAAGUGUGCUUUGGGGGGUGGAGGGGGGUGCUCUGGAGGUCCCUUAUGACUUCCGGAGCUCACUAGUGCCACAGUUCACUUAGGGACCCUCUUAGGGUAUGUGUGAGGUCAUCCCUUUUCCAACUGCGUAGUCAUGUGAAGCUGAAUUUUCUUUAGCUACACCACUAAAACAACAUAUUGCAACAAAGCGAAUGCAGAAGUGGAUAUGAGAACCUAGCUGCCUUUUCUUAACAUAGGUGUUAAAGAGACUUGCAAAAAUGCAAAGUAAUGUUACUCUUCUCAUAAAUUUUUAAUUUUGGAAAAUAUAGUUUUUAAAUGGAAUAAAAAUGCUGUCUAUGUGUUAUGUACCUUAGCAUGUAAUGGGUUUAUAGUUCUUUUAAAAUAAAUGUCUACAUGAAUAUUUAAAGUUUUCUUACUUUUAAUUUCUUUCUCUCUCUCCCUUUCCUUCCUUCCUUCCUUCCUUCUUUCCUUCCUUCCUUCUUUCCUUCCUUCCUCCCUCCCUUCCUCCCUCUCUCUCUCUUUCUCUCUUUCUUUCUUUCUUGACAGAGUCUUGCUCUGUCAAGCCCAGGCUGCAGUGCAGUGGCACAAUCUCAGCUCACUGCAACUUCUUCCUUCCGGGUUCAAGCAAUUCUCCUGUCUCAGCCUCCUGAGAAAGUGGGAUUACAGCCGCCAGCCACCAUGCUUGGCUAAUUUUUGUAUUUUUAGUAGAGACAGGGUUUCACCAUGUUGGCCAGGCUGAUCUCAAACUCCUGACCUCAAGUUAUCCGCCUGCCUCGGCUUCCCAAAGUGCUGGAAUUACAGGUGUGAACCAUUUUAAUUUCUAAUAUCAUCACUAAUAAUCUACAUAAAUAAAAGCUGUUUGGGGUUCUCGAUAAUCGCUGAGUGAAGAGGCUCUGAGACUAGAGUUUGAGAACAUCUGCCUAAGGAAGAGCUUACGAAUUCCAAAACCAUGGCAGGAAUGGCGAUCCUUAGAGAAGAUGGAUUCAUUUCAGGGACAUGUUAACUGUAAAAAGAUCAACUCUUCCUCUCUGAACCAACAGCCUGUGUCUACUCCCAAGUGCAAGUGUCCUGAGAGAGGUAUGGCUGCAUGCCUGCCAGGGAGUUUCCUUCCUUUACUUCAUAGCACUGUUUGUUCACAACAUUUUCUUCCUUAUUGACUUGAACACAAGGACACCACCUACCUCAUGUCUUCCUUCUUCCCGUGGAUGUCCAGAUGAAGCACUCCACACUCCUUUGAGAGAGAUAAACAAGGAAGAUGUGUGCUUAGUCCAGAGGUUUCAUCAAGAAAUGAAAGCAGAGACAAUAAAGUUUUGGUCUUGGUUCUCCUGUUGGCUUCAGAAUGAACAUAAUUAAGAUGAUUAACGAUCAACUCAGGCCUGAAAAAUGAGUAACUGUAGGUCAUGUUGCCAUGAAGUUACGAAGAAAAAGAACUCUUCAGAGGUGUAUACAUG